UGCAGAAUUCCGGGAAUCAUCGAGUCUUUGAACGCAACUUGCGCCCGCGGCUCGUCCAAGGGCAUGCCUGCUUGAGCGUCCCUAAACCCCCCACACCCUCCUCCUUUCUUCGGGGGGAGGGUGGAAUUGGUCGUCCGCGCGCCCGUGUUCCUCUCUUUUGGAGCGCAAGGGAUGCCGCGGUUGGCUGAAAUGUAUCGGUAGCACCGUGCGGCGAUGUUGCUCCGCAAGGGUGGUCCGUCCCCUCGCUCGAGGUGGCGGCUAUUUGCGGGUGCGUCCUCGAGGGUGCGUGUGCCGGAUCGGGCUCUUCGGAGUCGAGGCUCGUCCUCGGCGACUCGAAACACAACUCGGACCUCAAAUCAGGCAAGGCUACCCGCUGAGUUUAAGCAUAUCACUAAGCGGAGGAAAAGAAACUAACCAGGAUUUCCCUAGUAGCGGCGAGCGAACCGGAAAGAGCCCAGCUUGGAAAUCGCGCGGCUCUGCCGGGGA
rnacentral:rRNA from 1 species